UACGUAGGGGCAAGCGUUGUCCGGAAUCAUUGGGCGUAAAGAGCGCGUAGGCGGCCCUGUAAGUCCGCUGUGAAAGUCAAGGGCUCAACCCUUGAAUGCCGGUGGAUACUGCAGGGCUAGAGUCCGGAAGAGGCGAGUGGAAUUCCUGGUGUAGCGGUGAAAUGCGCAGAUAUCAGGAAGAACACCCGUGGCGAAGGCGGCUCUCUGGGACGGUACUGACGCUGAGACGCGAAAGCGUGGGGAGCGAACAGG
rnacentral:rRNA from 1 species